UACGGAUGGUGCAAGCGUUAAUCGGGAUUACUGCGCGUAGAGCGCGCGUAGGUGGCUUGAUAAGCCGGUUGUGAAAGCCCCGGGCUCAACCUGGGAACGGCAUCCGGAACUGUCAAGCUAGAGAGCAGGAGAGGAAGGUAGAAUUCCCGGUGUAGCGGUGAAAUGCGUAGAGAUCGGGAGGAAUGCCAGUGGCGAAGGCGGCCUUCUGGACUGACACUGACACUGAGGUGCGAAAGCGUGGGUAGCAAACAGG
rnacentral:misc_RNA from 1 species